CCUACGGGGCACCAGUGGGGAAUAUUGCACAAUGGGCGCAAGCCUGAUGCAGCCAUGCCGCGUGUGUGAAGAAGGCCUUCGGGUUGUAAAGCACUUUCAGCGGGGAGGAAGGCGGUGAGGUUAAUAACCUCACCGAUUGACGUUACCCGCAGAAGAAGCACCGGCUAACUCCGUGCCAGCAGCCGCGGUAAUACGGAGGGUGCAAGCGUUAAUCGGAAUUACUGGGCGUAAAGCGCACGCAGGCGGCCUGUCAGAUCGGAUGUGAAAUCCCCGGGCUCAACCUGGGAACUGCAUUCGAAACUGGCAGGCUAGAGUCUUGUAGAGGGGGGUAGAAUUCCAGGUGUAGCGGUGAAAUGCGUAGAGAUCUGGAGGAAUACCGGUGGCGAAGGCGGCCCCCUGGACAAAGACUGACGCUCAGGUGCGAAAGCGUGGGGAGCAAACAGGAUUAGAUACCCUCGUAGUC
rnacentral:rRNA from 1 species